AACAAGGCGUACCUGCGGACCUGCGGAGGGAUCAUUACAGAGUUGCAAAACUCCCUAAACCAUUGUGAACGUUACCUAAACCGUUGCUUCGGCGGGCGGCCCGGGUCCUUCCCGGCGCCCCUCGGCCCUCGCGGGCGCCCGCCGGAGGUAAACCAAACUAUUGCAUUGUAUGGCCUCUCUGAGUCUUCUGUACUGAAUAGGUCAAAACUUUCAACAAUGGAUCUCAGAUCGGAAGAGCAC
rnacentral:misc_RNA from 1 species